rnacentral:lncRNA from 1 species
AUAGAUUUAGGGACACAAGGUUUUCUCAAAGCUGAUUGGUUCUUUCAUUGUAUGGGGCAAGUUCAUGAACUAGCAGUCGUCAGUCUGAGUGGCCAGAAUAAGCUGCAAAGUUCAUUAUCUGGUUGUUAUCAUAAGGCUGUAGCUGGUAUAUCUUUGGUCUUAUUUCUUCCCAGAUUUUUUUUCUCUCCUUUUGUUAUUUGUUGACUUUUGAAGCUUGUAGUGGCUGGUCAGAAAAAUAAGUGCACUUCUCUGGCAAUUAUAGAGAUUAAGACUGUUAAUAGAGGGCUGUGCUUGAGACAUAUCUUAGUGGUAGUUAGCUAGUUGUGAAUAAUAAAGCAUGCAUCACAUCAUUGUUGUUAUUUUCUCUUGGCAUUGGUUGUCACUCCUUGAUGCAAAGCUUACUCUGGGAUUUCAAAGUAUGCCGGAGGCUGCCUUAGUUUAUACUCCCUCCGUUCCGAAUUACUUGUCUUAGAUUUGUCUAGAUACGGAGGUAUCUAGCACUAAAAUGAGUCUAGAUACGCCCGUAUCUAGACAAAUCCAAGACAAGUAAUUUGAAACAGAGGGAGUAUAUACAAAUACAGAAUCUGAGGCGAGAAUCUAUUCAAUUUUGCUCAGACCUGUUGUACUCCCUUUUUCCGAGUAUAAUGUAUAUGCUGAAUAUUGCUUUUCUGGUUUGCCCUGUUGGUUGUAUGAAUUUUGGUUCAUUCUAUUCACAUUUACAACUGUUUUAAUUGUAUUUACGCUCUUCCAUACUUUCCAGAGUAGAAGCAGGAUCCUGUUAGUGAAAACUUAUUGCGAAAGCAUGUAACUUAG